rnacentral:rRNA from 1 species
AUUGAACGCUGGCGGCAUGCUUUACACAUGCAAGUCGAACGGUAACAGGUCUUCGGAUGCUGACGAGUGGCGAACGGGUGAGUAAUACAUCGGAACGUGCCUAGUAGUGGGGGAUAACUACUCGAAAGAGUAGCUAAUACCGCAUGAGAUCCACGGAUGAAAGCAGGGGACCUUCGGGCCUUGUGCUCCUAGAGUGGCUGAUGGCAGAUUAGGUAGUUGGUGGGGUAAAGGCUUACCAAGCCUGCGAUCUGUAGCUGGUCUGGGAGGACGACCAGCCACACUGGGACUGAGACACGGCCCAGACUCCUACGGGAGGCAGCAGUGGGGAAUUUUGGACAAUGGGCGAAAGCCUGAUCCAGCAAUGCCGCGUGCAGGAUGAAGGCCCUCGGGUUGUAAACUGCUUUUGUACGGAACGAAAAGCCUGGGGCUAAUAUCCCCGGGUCAUGACGGUACCGUAAGAAUAAGCACCGGCUAACUACGUGCCAGCCGCCGCCGUAAGAC